rnacentral:rRNA from 1 species
GACGAACGCUGGCGGCGUGCCUAAUACAUGCAAGUAGGACGCACAGUUUAUACCGUAGCUUGCUACACCAUAGACUGUGAGUUGCGAACGGGUGAGUAACGCGUAGGUAACCUACCUAUUAGAGGGGGAUAACUAUUGGAAACGAUAGCUAAUACCGCAUAACAGUAUGUAACACAUGUUAGAUGCUUGAAAGAUGCAAUUGCAUCGCUAGUAGAUGGACCUGCGUUGUAUUAGCUAGUAGGUAGGGUAAAGGCCUACCUAGGCAACGAUACAUAGCCGACCUGAGAGGGUGAUCGGCCACACUGGGACUGAGACAUGGCCCAGACUCCUACGGGAGGCAGCAGUAGGGAACUUCGGCAAGUGGGGGGAACCCUGACCGAGCAACGCCGCGUGAGUGAAGAAGGUUUUCGGAUCGUAAAGCUCUGUUGUUAGAGGAAGAACGAGUGUGAGAAGGAAAGUUCAUGCUGUGACG